rnacentral:rRNA from 1 species
AGAGAGAGACAUGCGCGCAUAUCAAUAAGCGGAGGAAAAGAAACUAACAAGGAUUCCCCUAGUAACGGCGAGUGAAGCGGGAAGAGCUCAAAUUUGAAAUCUUCAAGGGUUUACCUUGACGAAUUGUAGUUUAAAGAAGUGUUUUCUGUUAGAGAGGUAGGUAAAAGUUCUUUGGAAUAGGACAUCAUAGAGGGUGAGAAUCCCGUAUUUGACUAUUCUUUCUAACGUUGUGAUACACUUUCAAAGAGUCGGAUUGUUUGGGAAUGCAGUCCAAAAUGGGUGGUAAAUUUCAUCUAAAGCUAAAUAUUGGCGAGAGACCGAUAGCGAACAAGUACCGUGAGGGAAAGAUGAAAAGAACUUUGAAAAGAGAGUUAAACAGUACGUGAAAUUGUCAAAAGGGAAGCGUUUGACACCAGUGUUGUUUUUCCGAAAAUCAAUUAUGAAUGGCUUGAUUUUAAGUUUCAUGACCUUAAAAGCUUGUUGCUUAUUUUUCAUGUCUUUCGUAAUGCACUUUUCGGUUAACAAGUCAACAUCAAUUUCUUUUGUUGUAAAAGGUUAAGAGGAAGGUGGCUUUACUUUCGGGUAAAGUGUUUAUAGCCCUUUUAACUCUGCAAUCGGAGAGAUUGAGGUCUGCAGCGUAGAUCCUUCGGGGUCAGAUACAUUUGUGCUAAGUUAUAGCUUUUCAUAGACAACUUGUUGACUAUGAUUAAGUCUUGUAAUUUACUCGCAGAUGCUAUUUUACCUACGCUUAGGAUGUUGACAGCAGUAUAGACUGU